GAACCUGAGAGUUUGAUCCUGGCUCAGAGCGAACGCUGGCGGCAUGCUUAACACAUGCAAGUCGCACGGAGGGCUUCGGCUUUCAGUGGCGGACGGGUGAGUAUCGCGUAGGGAUUUGUCG
rnacentral:rRNA from 1 species